GAUGAACGCUGGCGGCGUGCCUAAUACAUGCAAGUCGAGCGAACAGACGAGGAGCUUGCUCCUCUGACGUUAGCGGCGGACGGGUGAGUAACACGUGGAUACCCUACCUAUAAGACUGGGAUAACUUCGGGAAACCGGAGCUAAUACCGGAUAAUAUCUUGAACCGCAUUGUUCAAUAGUGAAAGACGGUUUUGCUGUAACUUAUAGAUGGAUCCGCGCCGCAUUAGCUAGUUGGUAAGGUAACGGCUUACCAAGGCAACGAUGCGUAGCCGACCUGAGAGGGUGAUCGGCCACACUGGAACUGAGACACGGUCCAGACGCCUACGGGAGGCAGCAGUAGGGAAUCUUCCGCAAAGGGCGAAAGCCUGACGGAGCAACGCCGCGUGAGUGAUGAAGGUCUUCGGAUCGUAAAACUCUGUUAUUAGGGAAGAACAAAUGUGUAAGUAACUAUGCACGUCUUGACGGUACCUAAUCAGAAAGCCACGGCUAACUACGUG
rnacentral:rRNA from 1 species